rnacentral:rRNA from 1 species
AUUGAACGCUGGCGGCAGGCUUAACACAUGCAAGUCGAGCGGGGUGAUGGUGCUUGCACUAUCACUUAGCGGCGGACGGGUGAGUAAUGCUUAGGGAUCUGCCUAUUAGUGGGGGACAACAUUUCGAAAGGGAUGCUAAUACCGCAUACGUCCUACGGGAGAAAGCAGGGGCUCACUUGUGACCUUGCGCUAAUAGAUGAGCCUAAGUCGGAUUAGCUAGUUGGUGGGGUAAAGGCCUACCAAGGCGACGAUCUGUAGCGGGUCUGAGAGGAUGAUCCGCCACACUGGGACUGAGACACGGCCCAGACUCCUACGGGAGGCAGCAGUGGGGAAUACUGGACAAUGGGGGGAACCCUGAUCCAGCCAUGCCGCGUGUGUGAAGAAGGCCUUAUGGUUGUAAAGCACUUUAAGCGAGGAGGAGGCUUACCUAGUUAAUACCUGGGAUAAGUGGACGUUACUCGCAGAAUAAGCACCGGCUAACUCUGUGCCAGCCGCCGCGGUAA